rnacentral:rRNA from 1 species
UACAGGGGGGGCAAGCGUUGUUCGGAAUUACUGGGCGUAAAGGCUCGUAGGCGGCCAACUAAGUCCGACGUGAAAUCCCAAAGCUUAACUUUGGAACUGCGUCGGAUACUGGAUGGCUUGAAUUCGGGAGAGGGAUGCAGAAUUCCAGGUGUAGCGGUGAAAUGCGUAGAUAUCUGGAGGAAUACCGGUGGCGAAGGCGGCAUCCUGGACCGACAUUGACGCUGAGGAGCGAAAGCUAGGG